AUGCUCGACUACGGCGCGGUGACGCCCGCGCUCGCCGGCUGCGAGGGCGUCUUCCACAUCGCCACUCCGGUGCCCGAGCAGGAGAUGGUUGACCCCGAGAAAGAGAUGAUGAAUCCUACUGUCAAGGGAACCAUGAAUGUACUCAAGGCCUGCUCAGCUAUGAACGUUGAGAAACUCAUUCUGGUUUCAUCUGCCGCCAGUAUUUGCUUCAAUCCAGAUUGGCCAGAAGAUAAAGUCAAAGAUGAAAGCUGUUGGUCAGACAAAGAGUUCUGCAAAGAGAAUAAGAGCUGGUAUUCGCUUGCGAAGACCGAAGCUGAAGAGAUAGCCCUGGAAUACGGUGACAAGAACGGAUUGCAUGUCAUCACAUUCUGCCCUGGUCUGGUCUUCGGCCCUCUGUUGCAGCAUGUGGUGCUCAACACUAGCAGCAAGGUCCUCCUCUACAUGAUAAAAGGAGGCCCUGAUACGAUGAACAACAAGUUCUGGCCCAUAGUAGACGUCCGCGACGUAGCCGGCGCGUUGCUCCUGUUGUACAACAAGGCAGGGCCACAUGAGAGGUACAUAUGCUCGUUAGACCAAAUGGACUUGAAGGAAUUGCUGGAGAUAAUGAAGAGCAUGUACCCUAGCUACAGUUAUGCAGACAAGAUGGUCGACGUGGAUUACAAGGGUGCACUGACUUCGGAUAAGCUGAAGAAUUUGGGGUGGAAACCAAGGAAAUUAGAGGAUACACUGGCAGACAGCGUUGAGUCGUAUGAAAAGGCAGGGCUUCUUCAUGUUUCAGAUGGCGAACCCUGCCGGCUUCCCUUCUUCUACCGCAUGCCACCUUUGGUGGAAUGA
rnacentral:rRNA from 1 species